UCCUCACUCAGCCCCUCUUAUUCCAGCCCUUCCUGUCCUCUCCCCUCCGCGGCCCCAGGCCGGCUGUUCUGUGCACCUGCCAGUGCCUCUCCUUGGGCACCGCUCUCCGUACUCUUCUUCACUAUGGUCUCUUUCCCCGUGUGUCCUUUCUGUAACCCUCUGUGACCUCCUUCAGUGAGGGAGCCACUGUGCCCCUCCAUCGCUCCGCCUCAUCUUGAGUAUUUUUCGCCCUGGUUUCCAUUACUGGGGCUCUGUGUAUUUAUUUGUCCACAUCUGUCUUUCCUGUUACGAUGUGGCAGGGGUUUUGUGGCCUUCGCCGUGCCCCAGCUCCUCCCCAGACCCGUGACUGGCAUAGGGCAGACAUUCAGUAAAUUAAUGAACAAGCCUCCUGUAAAAUGUUGGAUGGAAAUAGCGAGCCCCUUUGAAAUGCACAGAGAAUCUCUAAACGAAAAGACAAGCCACAGAGAAAAUCUGUAACUGAGGAGACGCUGCUAUCCUGACAUAACGAGAACGUGCAGAGACCAACCAGAUGGGCACACGAGUGCAGGAGAGACUGGAAGGGGCCCGAGCAGCACUCCCGGCUGGAGGCCAGACCAGUGGUGCCUCCCUGUAUCCUUAGGAAGGCCUUGGGGCCCCCUCAUGCCCUGCAGCCCGCAUGAGCCUCAGACUGCAGCCCAGGGUGCUUCCCACAUGGGCCCUGCUGUGUCCCCUCUCGCCCAGGCCUCUGUGACCUUGUCCCACCCACUCCUUGCC